rnacentral:RNase_P_RNA from 2 species
AAGGUCAGCUAAGCAAUCGCGUGAGGUGCAGUGAUGUGUCUUGCGAGGAAAGUCCGGGCUCCAUAGGGUAAAGUGCCAGGUAACGCCUGGGGGACAAUUGUCUACGGAUAGUGCCACAGAAAAGAUACCGCCUGAAAAAGGUAAGGGUGAAAAGGUGCGGUAAGAGCGCACCGCAGCAUGGGUAACCAUGUUGGCAUGGUAAACCCCACUUGGAGCAAGAUCAAAUAAGAGCUCGAUAGUACGACCCGUACUGAGCUCGGGUAGAUCGCUUGAGGUGUUUGGCGACAAACAUCCUAGAUAAAUGAUUGCUCUCGACAGAACCCGGCUUAUCGGCUGACCUUUAAU